AGCCCAAAUGGAACCCCUGCAUUUGUUACUGUUGAGGCCCCUUCCCUAAAUUUGAGGUACUACUUUUUGUGUGUUUUGCCAUCGAUUUUGUUUGGCAAUUGUAAGACGUGUCGUUUCUUGUUCCAUCUGGCCGUCUACAGCGGCUCAGAAACUCUCAAUUCAAAGGAAGGGCUUUUUAGUAAUUCUACUUCCAUCGUUAGCCAAUGAUACCCAUUUAUUAAGACAGACUACGGACGACGCGAACAUCGCAUAGAUUGCACAGUCGUUUCAUAUCAGAGGGACGGUGAGCCCCUUUCUGAAGCGUGUCGCGCAGUAUUCGCGUUUAUCUUUAUCUUCUCUGUGUUCUUGCCGAGUGUGCCAACAAUGAUCCAUAGCGGUUUGGGAUUCGGUACCGGAAGUACGGUGGCGUAGGGCGGAAGGUACUAUUAUAUCUUGCUACAUCAAUAUAAUUUAAGUUAUUACGCAAUUCGUGAUCAUGGUCGUCUGUGGCUUUAAUGAGCCUCUAAAUCAGUUCUUUGCUUCUGUUCAAUAAUAUGUAAUGUCUUCAGCUGUUACAGGAUAGGGGUUAAUGACUUUUUAAAUAUAGCUUCUAGAUGUGAAAACCAAAUUAAAUAACCUUUAAUGAUGUUGAUUCAUGGGCCAUGGCUGUCAGAAACUGACCAACAAACAGCAUUGGACUUUCAUUUAAAAAUCUCUUUGCAUCU